CCUACGAGAGGCUGCAGUGGGGAAUAUUGCGCAAUGGGGGCAACCCUGACGCAGCCAUGCCGCGUGAAUGAAGAAAGCCUUCGGGUUGUAAAGUUCUUUCGGUAGCGAGGAAGGCAUUUAGUUUAAUAGACUAGGUGAUUGACGUUAACUACAGAAGAAGCACCGGCUAACUCCGUGCCAGCAGCCGCGGUAAUACGGAGGGUGCGAGCGUUAAUCGGAAUAACUGGGCGUAAAGGGCACGCAGGCGGUGACUUAAGUGAGGUGGGAAAGCCCCGGGCUUAACCUGGGAAUUGCAUUUCAUACUGGGUCGCUAGAGUACUUUAGGGAGGGGUAGAAUUCCACGUGUAGCGGUGAAAUGCGUAGAGAUGUGGAGGAAUACCGAAGGCGAAGGCAGCCCCUUGGGAAUGUACUGACGCUCAUGUGCGAAAGCGUGGGGAGCAAACAGGAUUAGAUACCCUAGUAGUC
rnacentral:rRNA from 1 species